GACAGAGGGUGCAAACGUUGUUCGGAAUUACUGGGCGUAAAGCGCGUGUAGGCGGCAGGGCAUGUCGGAUGUGAAAUCCCGUGGCUCAACCACGGAAGUGCACCCGAAACUGCCCAGCUUGAGUCUCGGAGAGGAAGGCGGAAUGCUUGGUGUAGAGGUGAAAUUCGUAGAUAUCAAGCGGGAACACCGGUGGCGGAAGGCGGCCUUCUGGACGAUGACAUGACGCUGGAGAACGCGAAAGACGUGGGGAGCAAACAGG
rnacentral:rRNA from 1 species